rnacentral:rRNA from 1 species
GACGAACGCUGGCGGCGUGCUUAACACAUGCAAGUCGAGCGGAAAGGCCCUUCGGGGUACUCGAGCGGCGAACGGGUGAGUGACACGUGAGUAAGCUGCCCCAGACUUUGGGAUAACCAUCGGAUAAGGGGGCUAAUACCGGAUCCGACACAGCGUCGCAUGGGGUCGGUGUGGAAAGGAUGUCGGUUUGGGAUGGGCUCGCGGCCUAUCAGCUUGUUGGUGGGGUGGUGGCCUACCAAGGCGACGACGGGUAGCCGGCCUGAGAGGGCGACCGGCCACACUGGGACUGAGAUACGGCCCAGACUCCUACGGGAGGCAGCAGUGGGGAAUAUUGCACAAUGGGCGGAAGCCUGAUGCAGCGACGCCGCGUGCGGGAUGACGGCCUUCGGGUUGUAAACCGCUUUCAGCUGUGACGAAGCGUAAGUGACGGUACCUGCAGAAGAAGCGCCGGCUAACUACGUG